rnacentral:rRNA from 1 species
UACGAAGGGGGCUAGCGUUUUUCGGAAUUACUGGGCGUAAAGCGCACGUAGGCGGAUUUGUAAGUCAGGGGUGAAAUCCCGGGGCUCAACCUCGGAACUGCCUUUGAUACUGCCAGUCUCGAGCACGGAAGAGGUGAGUGGAAUUCCGAGUGUAGAGGUGAAAUUCGUAGAUAUUAGGAGGAACACCAGUGGCGAAGGCGGCUCACUGGCCAGAUUCUGACGCUGAGGUGCGAAAGCGUGGGGAGCAAACAGG